rnacentral:rRNA from 1 species
GAUGAACGCUGGCGGCGUGCCUAACACAUGCAAGUCGAACGGAGUUCUUGAGGAAUGCGACUUCGGUCAAAUGACUUUUGAACUUAGUGGCGGACGGGUGAGUAACGCGUGAGCAACCUGCCUUUCAGAGGGGGAUAACAUUUGGAAACAGAUGCUAAUACCGCAUAAGAUUACAGUACCGCAUGAUACAGUGAUCAAAGGAGCAAUCCGCUGAAAGAUGGGCUCGCGUCCGAUUAGAUAGUUGGUGAGGUAACGGCUCACCAAGUCGACGAUCGGUAGCCGACCUGAGAGGGUGACCGGCCACAUUGGGACUGAGACACGGCCCAGACUCCUACGGGAGGCAGCAGUGGGGGAUAUUGCACAAUGGAGGAAACUCUGAUGCAGCGACGCCGCGUGAGUGAAGAAGUAUUUCGGUAUGUAAAGCUCUAUCAGCAGGAAGAAAUGACGGUACCUGACUAAGAAGCCCCGGCUAACU